rnacentral:rRNA from 1 species
CUACGUGCCAGCAGCCGCGGUAAUACGUAGGGUGCGAGCGUUAAUCGGAAUUACUGGGCGUAAAGCGAGCGCAGACGGUUACUUAAGCAGGAUGUGAAAUCCCCGGGCUCAACCUGGGAACUGCGUUCUGAACUGGGUGACUAGAGUGUGUCAGAGGGAGGUAGAAUUCCACGUGUAGCAGUGAAAUGCGUAGAGAUGUGGAGGAAUACCGAUGGCGAAGGCAGCCUCCUGGGAUAACACUGACGUUCAUGCUCGAAAGCGUGGGUAGCAAACAGGAUUAGAUACCCUGGUAGUCCACGCCCUAAACGAUGUCAAUUAGCUGUUGGGCAACUUGAUUGCUUAGUAGCGUAGCUAACGCGUGAAAUUGACCGCCUGGGGAGUACGGUCGCAAGAUUAAAACUCAAAGGAAUUGACGGGGACCCGCACAAGCGGUGGAUGAUGUGGAUCAAUUCGAUGCAACGCGAAGAACCUUACCUGGUCUUGACAU